UUGCAAUGAGAUAUGGCCGCCAGUUCUCAUUAAAAUAGUUUAAUAUAUAUUUGUCAAGCUAUCGCGGCACGAACGCCGAGCAUAUCCUGCCGAGCGUUCAUAUUAUUUGUUAUUUUAUUUAUUUUUUUUUUUUCAUGCGUCAUCUCCAUCCGGUUUAUUUACAUUUUAUACAAUUUUUCUCUCUCAUUUUUAAUGCCGUUGCAUUUAAUGACCAGAUUAUCGCGGUAUUAACCCUCAUGACUCGAAUUUCAUUCGACAAUUGAUGAUGAGGUGAAAUGUCAUCGAUAGUUUCUCGAUUUUCGGUACGUGAUAAAAUACAAAAUGAAAAGGAUCGGGAAAAUUGGUUUGUAGUUGUGGUAGAAUUUUUUGUGGAAGUUUACUAACAUUCAAAUGACAAAGCAAAAAGUCAAGAAGAGUAGACACUAACGAGUACAACGUGCGAGCCAGAUCUUAUUGCAGUGAGCACGCGAUCUGUUCCCCAUUGCGCGGAUGAUAUCGAUCGUACCGAUUAAUAAUCACAACCAAGUGUGGAUUCUCGUUAUACAUCUUGUAGAGAGGGACUUUCUCCCUUUCAAAAAGUUCAUCGUCAACUAGUAUAGAUUUAUAUCAUUGUGUGUAUGCUGUCACUCUACGAAACGAUAAAUAAUUGCUGGUAAUUUGAGAAAAUAUACUUCGUGAUAAAUAAAUGCUGGAUGGGAUAAAAUUUGUAGUGGUAAAGGAGAUAAAUUAAAUGAGCUGGAAUUAUCAACAUUAUAAAUAAUUUCUGAAUGUUGAUUUUCAAAAAAUCGGACCAUAACUGCCGAGGAGCCAAUGGAACCGUUAAAUCAGGCCACUCCAUUGUAACUCGUGUGAAUACGAGUGCAAAGAUGGUAGUCACGCUGCUGUUACUUCUUUUCAUCCCAAUGGACAAUUGCACGAAUCCGAAACCAUUGUCCAAUGCAAAUUGUGGCCAACCGUCAGGAUUUUCUUGCUAGUUGGAUCACGAAGGAAUCCCAGAAUCAUAGAGAGAAGUUACAAGUGCGUGACGAGGACGGAAUUAUCACGAAUCGCGGUGAAAAGAGAUCUCCAAAAUCGUCACAAAACAGUGUUGUUUACAAUAAAUUACAACUAAUUGAAAAGAAAAAAUUCACGAGUGCCGGUAAACUGAAGGAAACGAGUGUCAAAAGACUUUGGUAAUUCUCCUGGGACCGGGGGGCGUGGGCUGUAACUGGGAGAUGCAAACUCAUUGUUGAAGCCCUCUUUCAAUAUAAAUAUUCAGUAGUUCUGGGGUUACAUACGCCAUCCGCCCUCUAAAAGGCGUGGAUAUGAAAAAUAAUGAGAGAAACAAAACCCUCGAGGGAGAAAUUAAUAAUUUUUUUGGUUUCGAUAAACGGAGAGAAAUAUUUUACAAUAAUUCUAGAGCAAGCGGCCAAAAUAGUUACGUAAUAGUUACCAAACUCAAUUACCGCCCUUCGUUUAUUGCUUCCAUAAGUUGUUAAUUACGUUUGAUUCCAAUAAAACUAUUAUUUACUCCAAUUAACUAUUUACUAUUUACUCCAAUCGGGCCUUGAGUUUAAAUUUCUAGGGAUUUCUAGGGGGAUCGGGCCCUUUACCAUACUCGACCCGCCGUCAACUAUGGGUCCCUUAACUAUGCAUAUACCAUAGUAACCGUCACCAUGCGAAAUGGUACGUUUCACACUAUCAGUCGUGUCCACUACCAUCGAGUCUCGCCAUGUCCUGGUAACCGUUAGCCCAUAGUAAUCACAACUACCCCAUAGUUCCGUAAAUAUUUGCAUAGUUCUCCCCACUUUAAUCCGUUAAGAAUUUACCCAAGCGGAUGAGACUAUUCCUCUUUCUUCUCUCCACUGUUUUUACAUCGAAGAAUGGUUUUUCUCAAAAUUAUUGCCGUUAUUGAUUUUCUGUUCUCUAUCUGGUGCAGAGGAGAGUGCAUCCGAUGAGUAGAAUGUGGUGAGAGACGGGCCCAAGCGGAGGCCCGACCGUAAAUACGUUGGAAUGCAGACACGGCGCGCGCGGUUGUCCAUGGAAGAGGCAGCCAGCGGGUUUGCCCUCUUCUCAUGUAGUGAGGAUGGGUAAAAUAAGCGUGUGGACGAAUGAAAGAAAAAGACAGAGAUAGAAAAUACUAGGUCGAUGGCCACUGCAUUCGACCGCACGAUUUCAAAUUCUUCAUGUUAUUAUGAUAAAAAUUUUAGUUAAAAAAUAAUGAAAAUGGAAAAAUUUUGUGUCUAACUGGGGAGGAUAUUUUUCAAUUGGUUGAAGUAUUAAAUAAACGAAUUAAAAAAAUUAAGUAAGGCGGAUGAAGCCGGCGUUUAACAUAAAUAUUGCUGAAAAAUAUUUCGACAUGCCUCAAGGCUGAUCUGCUGACGCGACGUUAAUUGAAAGCACGCCCGGGUCCUGUAUCCCCCCCCCCACACACCCCCGAUCCAUGGCCAACAGCCGACGUAAAACCAGGUGGGAAUAAAAUAAAAAGGGAAUGGGGAAAAGUGCAGUAAUGGAGGAUUGAAUAGUAAAUUGCAAUGUUAAUAAGUAGGCACAUUUGAAUCGAGGUGAAUGAAUAAAGAAUGGAGGGAGAGAGAGAGUAGAAAGAGAUGAAAAGAGAAAUUAAAAGAAUCAAGUCGCCAUUCUCUUUCUUUCUCUGGCUAAAGAACGGAGAGACCGCCAAGUUUACGAUGAGCCAACGUAAGCACGACACUCGUCUGCUAACUGGCUCCCUAGCUACCGUCGCCGGUGGAUCUUCCCUCGGUCAUUACUACGACUCCUCAGAGAAAUUUAUCAAAAAUCGUAAACGAAUUUGAAUUAGAGAGGAAAAAGUCACUCUGCUCGACUGGAUUUUGAUCCCUAAUGUGUUGGGGGGCUCUACCCCUCAGUACGGCCCUGAGGUUGUUUUGAAUGUCUCCAUUCCGCAACAGCAACGCUACUCGGCUGUUUUAUCGGUGGAUAAGUGAAUUUGAUGAAUUGAUGGGUCAGUUAUUGAGAUACAGAAGUAAGUUGAAUCAACGAUGAGGCCCUUUUUGCAAUAUUUUAUUUUAAAAAAUGUGAUCGGACUAACGUUUGGUCAUAACGACCAAAAUAAUAUUCGUCACCUUAAAAUACUGCUCUCUCUCUCAUUAUUGUUUAUGUUUAUGUAAACUGGAAUGGAAACUGCGUCGACUCGUUUUUGUAACAUUUAUUAUUUAUGUGAAUAAUUGUAAGAAAUAUAUCUAAAUACUCAUAUAAACAGUUUAUUUGGCGAGCGCGAAAUAUUUGGUUGAGUGGCUGAAUGGUGAAGUGACAGAGAGAAUGAGAAAUUAAAAAAAAAAUAAGAAGGUGUGGGCACAGAAGACCCAAUGGCGCCACACAAGCUUGGGACACCCCCCGUCGAGUACUAUUACGCAUUUAACUAAUUUUCUUGUCUCGUAAAGUACGAAAAGAGUCUCUCGGCCGAUCUUAAUAAUAUUUCAUCUUCAAUAUCAUUUUCAAAUUGUCGCUCUCAUUUGGAUAGCGAUUUGCCUCGUUUCUUCGGUCAUUUUCACCGGUCUUUCAUCGAUAUAAAUUGUUAGAUUCCGCAGAAACAUAACUAUUUUA